UACGGAGGGUGCAAACGUUGCUCGGAAUCAUUGGGCGUAAAGCGCACGUAGGCGGCCCGCUAAGUCGGAUGUGAAAGCCCUCGGCUUAACCGAGGAAGUGCAUUCGAAACUGACGGUCUUGAGUAUGGAAGAGGGUCGCGGAAUUCCCGGUGUAGAGGUGAAAUUCGUAGAUAUCGGGAGGAACACCAGUGGCGAAGGCGGCGACCUGGGCCAAUACUGACGCUGAGGUGCGAAAGCGUGGGGAGCAAACAGG
rnacentral:rRNA from 1 species